GUGGACGUGGUUCAUGGCGAACAGUUGCAUUAAAUUUGGAUUUUCUUCGUCUAUUUAGCAAUGGAUUGGGGUUCGACUCCCCGUGUCCGCA